CACUGACAAGCUGGAGUAUCAUCACAGGGUUGUUCCUGAUACUCCCUCAGAACGCUUGAUGGGCCUCCCAUCAACUAGGAAGCUGGCAUUGAAAAACAAGGUUGUCUUUGGCACUGGUGACCAUUGGCAUGCCCCAACUUUAACGGCAAAUAUGGCAUUUGUUAGAGCUGUUUCACAGACGCGUUUCUACUAUCGAACAUAGACCAAGGGCUUUAACUGGUGAUUAAGCUACAUACAUGCAUGAAAACAAGUUUUGAGGCAUUCAAAAUCAGGCUGUCAAUUAAAUAAUUGGGCUGAGUGUUCAACACAUGGCGCUUGCAAAUGCAGCCUUCUUGGGGGUGUUGAGUGUAUUGCUAGCAUAACAUGUAGUAAUGCAGGAUGGUAAUGCACCUGAACUACCCUUUUCUGAUCUUGAGAGCUACCAUUGGUAAUCUUUGGCGGCAGUGGUGCUUCCACCUCUACAGCGUGUAUCCGAAGUCUCUGAUGAUCUGCCAUGAAUACAGUAAGAGAGUGCUCUUACUAUCUCAUCUUUUGUGAUGGCUACACCCUGUGUUUUUGUUCAAGUGACAAUAAUGUAAUGUCCCUGCUCCAAGUACAGAUUCUUUAAUUGACUUGUUAAGUGUGGAAAUAAUUUUAUGGGAGGUGGACUGAGUGAUCUCACAAAAGAUACUUUGGUGAGGUUACCUUCCUCAUUUAUGAAAACAUGAUAUUAAUAUUGAUGAGAGCUCCUUUUUAUUUUGUUGAGGCUCGGAA